AGCACAUCUCCGGUGUUAAUGGCUCCACAAAGCUUGUGCUUCACUCCCUGUUUUACAGAGCGAGCGUUUGUGUUUGUUGAUGAAGAGGAGCUCUUCAGCGUGACGAAGGAUCUGGACUGUCUCUACUGCAGGAUUCCAGUCACUGCAUCUAAACAGCACCUCAGAAAGAAACAUCUCAGAUUCGCUAUAUAUUAUAAAGACUCUGGCCUCGGGAAGUUUUCUAUCCCCUGUUACUGUUCUGAUGGAGGCCAGGGCAGGAGCCACUGGCAUUGCCCACUGUGCUCAAAAAUAUUGCACAGGACACAGAAUUACAAAAUCCAUAUUACCAACCACGUUGAGCUACAGCCUACAACUGUCCUGUUAGAGAGCCUACAAACAGACAACGAAGACAAGACACCAGGCAACAAGGCAGUGUGCCAAAAGUGUGGGAUCCACUUUACCACAACGUCAAAUUUGAGACGGCACGAGAGACUACAGCACAGCCAGGACCAGCAGCCCAUUUUAUGCAUAGAUGCCAAAAAUGCAAUCUAUGUUACACCCAAAUAUCUGCACGGGCCAAGAGUGCCCAUUCAUAUCCGCAAGUCCUUCACCUUGCAGAUUCUGCUGUGUGAGCUGGAGGAAUGCUGGGAUUUCAUGAAAGCGCAGGCCCAGAGCGGGAAUCCUGGGAAGGAAUGCCGUCACCUGCUCCGAACGAAUCAGGCUACGUUCUACGUUCCCCCUCCGCCGCUGUGCAUUAACUCUCUGGAGGAGAUGAGCCACAAACACCUCCUGUCCGCAUCCGAGAGACACGAGUGCCAGGAGAUCAACUCUAGGGCAUGUAUGCAGGGGGUGGAUUGUGUGUACCCUAUUUUUUGGGGCGAGCAUGACCUUUCAGAGAGAUGUGUCUUCUUUUCGGUGUACACCGACCUUGAGGACAAAUGGUGUCAGUUUGGGAGGACACACGUCUCGUUUGACACCAAGUCUGGCAGCUGGAAGUGUCUGUGUAAGCACAAAAGAAGCCACUGCGUCCACAAGUGUUUGUCUAUGUGGUGGUUGUUUCAGGAGCGUCCUGAGCUGUUGCAGAAUGCCCUAGAUGUCCACGCGGAAAGAGUCGACGUGCUUGAGGAAGCGGCCAUGGAUGCAGAGGACGUGCUUUAGAUGACGGACUCCACAUCCGUCAAAACUUCUCUCGUUUUCUGUCUUUACUCAAUAAAAACACUAGGCGUAACCUUUAUGUUGGCUUGUUUUUUGUU
rnacentral:lncRNA from 1 species